rnacentral:rRNA from 1 species
UACGGAGGGAGCAAGCGUUGUCCGGAUUUACUGGGCGUAAAGCGCGCGUAGGCUGUCCAUUAAGUCGGCUGUGAAAGCGCUGGGCUCAACUCAGCAAAGUCAGUCGAUACUGAUGGACUCGAGUCCGGGAGAGGGAAGUGGAAUUGCUGGUGUAGCGGUGGAAUGCGUAGAUAUCAGCAAGAACACCGGUGGCGAAGGCGGCUUCCUGGACCGGUACUGACGCUGAGGCGCGAAAGCCAGGGGAGCGAACGGGAUUAGAUACCCCCGUA